UAGAUACCCUGGUAGUCCACGCUGUAAACGCUGUCGAUUUGGGGAUUAGGCCUUGAGCUUGGUGCCCGAAGCUAACGUGAUAAAUCGACCGCCUGGGGAGUACGGCCGCAAGGUUAAAACUCAAAUGAAUUGACGGGGGCCCGCACAAGCGGUGGAGCAUGUGGUUUAAUUCGAUGCAACGCGAAGAACCUUACCUAUCUUGACAUCCAUGGAAUCUUGUAGAGAUAUGAGAGUGCCUUCGGGGACCAUG
rnacentral:rRNA from 1 species